rnacentral:ncRNA from 1 species
GAUUCUAUAUGAUUACUAAUUUUUAAUUUAAAUAUAUGAUGUUUUAUAAACUUUAUUUGUUCCGACAAAAAAAUUUACUUGAUUUUUAAUAUGUUUUAUUCAUGCAUAUUGAUUUUAUUUUAUUAGAUGAAUAUAUAUAAGUUUUUGCGUGAUGAAUUUUUUAAAAAAAUUAUUUUUUAUUCUUAGUUUCUAAUUUUAAUUAUUUAUUAAUAUAUUAUUUAUUUAUAAUAAAUAUCCAUAACAAAAAUUGUGCCAGCAGUUGCGGUUAUACAAUUGUGGAUUUUAAAUCUUUUUAGUUUAUAUUAAAUUUAUGGUUAAAUAUUUAUUUUUAUAAUUUUUUAGUGAAAUAUUAAUUAUAGUUAUAUUAUUUUAUAUUAAAAUAUAAGAAAGUUAGAUUUAGACUAGGAUUAGAUACCCUAUUAUUAUAACUGUAAAAUUAUAGCUUAAUCAUUAAUAGAUAUGAUCUUUAAAUUUAAAGAAUUUGGCGGUAAUUUAGCUAUUCAGAGGAACCUGUCCUGUAAUUGAUAAUCCACAAUGAAUUUUACUUUUAUUAGGUUUAUAUAUCUCUAUCAUUGAAUGUCUUUUUAAGGUUUAAUUUUCUAAAUGGUUUUUUAACCUAAAUGUUAGGUCAAGGUUUAAUAAUAUAAAAGUAGAGAUGGGUUACAUUAUUAUUAUAUGGGGAAUAAUAUAUGGAAAUAUAUAUGAAUUUGGAUUUGAUAGUAAAUUACUUUAGAAUAAGUUUUUGAUAUUAGCUCUAGAUUAUGCACACAUCGCCCGUCGCUCCCAAUAUAUAUUGGGAUAAGUCGUAACAAAGUAGAUCUAUUGGAAAAUGGAUCUAGAAUGA